rnacentral:sRNA from 1 species
AAUGUUAGUUGCCUAAAACAUGUAAUUUCGUUGUUUGUGUUGUCACUCAGGGCUGGCCCUGAGCACAACAAAGUGAAACAUUUGCUGUGUCCCAAAAUUUGAAUGGCCCAUUUUGAA